rnacentral:rRNA from 1 species
UACGUAGGGCGCAAGCGUUAUCCGGAAUUAUUGGGCGUAAAGAGCUCGUAGGCGGUUUGUCGCGUCUGCCGUGAAAGUCCGGGGCUCAACUCCGGAUCUGCGGUGGGUACGGGCAGACUAGAGUGCGGUAGGGGAGAUCGGAAUUCCUGGUGUAGGCGGUGAAAUGCGCAGAUAUCAGGAGGAACACCGGUGGCGAAGGCGGAUCUCUGGGCCGUAACUGACGCUGAGGAGCGAAAGCAUGGGGAGCGAACAGG